GACGAACGCUGGCGGCGUGCCUAAUACAUGCAAGUCGAACGAGAGCGACCGGUGCUUGCACUGGUCAAUCUAGUGGCGAACGGGUGAGUAACACGUGGGUAACCUGCCCAUCAGAGGGGGAUAACAUCCGGAAACGGAUGCUAAAACCGCAUAGGUCUUCGAACCGCAUGGUUUGAAGAGGAAAAGAGGCGCAAGCUUCUGCUGAUGGAUGGACCCGCGGUGCAUUAGCUAGUUGGUGAGGUAACGGCUCACCAAGGCCGUGAUGCAUAGCCGACCUGAGAGGGUGAUCGGCCACAUUGGGACUGAGACACGGCCCAAACUCCUACGGGAGGCAGCAGUAGGGAAUCUUCCGCAAUGGACGCAAGUCUGACGGAGCAACGCCGCGUGAGUGAAGAAGGUUUUCGGAUCGUAAAACUCUGUUGUUAGAGAAGAACAAGUGCUAGAGUAACUGUUAGCGCCUUGACGGUAUCUAACCAGAAAGCCACGGCUAUCUACGUG
rnacentral:rRNA from 1 species